rfam:Colinus virginianus strain Texas jcf7180006226862, whole genome shotgun sequence.
GGUCCCUAACUAUUGCGAACACCUGUAUGAAGCCGCCCGCUGGUCGGUAAAGGCUUCAUUUGGUGCCCCCCGACGUGAUAGUUAGGGAAU